GAGAUGGAGCAAGAAUCGGAUGCAUUACUUGUGGCAUGCGCCAAUUCAGCUAGAGGCCUGCAGAAACUUGGAAGCGACUUAAGCCGGGACGUGUGUUUUGUUAGUCAGUUGAGUAAUAACCGGACCAAGCCAAUGUGUGUGGCUGGCCGUUGUGUGUGCAUGCAUGGCAGAAGUGGUGCGUGUGUGUGCAUGCAGUUAGCAGCUAGGUAGUUAGUUAGUGGGUCAAAGUAGUGGCGUGAGUUUAGAUGGCAUGGGUUCUUGCCGUGUGUAUAAAUAGUCAUUUCAGUCAAUGAGUAAAGAAGAGCGGUGAGGGCUGGGAGAAAAGAUGUAGCCAUUGUAUGGUCACCAAGGAAGUCCUCUCGGCAAAGCCAUUGAGAUCCUUUUCUCUAGUGUGUGUGCGUUGUGUGUGUGUGUGUUCCUCCGUGUAUGUGUGUUCUGGUGCUCUUGACAGAAGAGAGAGUUGUGAGAGACAAAGAGAGGUAGAAGAAGAGCGGCGCCUGAGAGGCGGCGCCAACAAUUGGCAUCAGAGCCUUGUUGAUCCGAGGCGAUGGCGGCGGCGCGGCGGACUCCAUGUGAGGGGGAUGUUGGCGGCGCAAGGUGGACGCCGUUGGCAGCAUGAUGCUGCUACCCGCCGGUGCGUGUCUCCAUCAUCAUCGAGCUGCGUCAUGAGUGAUGGAGAGAGGUGUGCUGCUUGGUAAGUUGCGGCACCGGCGGCAAGGAGGUGAUAACCAUGGAGCGGAGGCCAUUGCCAUGAGGUGGUCCAUGUCCGAGUCGGCGAUAAGGUGCGUCAUCGUCAGCAACAUGGAGGAGAGUCAUCGAUGAGUUGCGGCAUCGGUGGAGAACAUGGAGGCGAGUCACCGGCAAGUUGCGGCACCGGUGGCAAACAUGCGGCAACGAGCGUGCCACGGCGGUGUGCUUGUGGUGAAGGCGCAGGAGGUGUGGCUCUCAUCGAGGCCAACGAUGACGACAGCAAUCGGCCUGACAAGAUGGCAUUGGUGGCUGUCUGCGUGUUGCAUCGACGAUGUCAACAAUCAGUGGCUUCAAGAGAGAAAUAAGUUAACAAGAUUAGGGAGGUUGUGUUCAAGGCAAAGCUAAUUAUCCAUGGUAGUUAGAUGCAUGCGUUAAAGCUCCCGAGUCCGAUGGCCGAGUUGCAUGCAGGUGGAGAUGGAGCAAGAAUCGGAUGCAUUACUUGUGGCAUGCGCCAAUUCAGCUAGAGGCCUGCAGAAACUUGGAAGCGACUUAAGCCGGGACGUGUGUUUUGUUAGUCAGUUGAGUAAUAACCGGACCAAGCCAAUGUGUGUGGCUGGCCGUUGUGUGUGCAUGCAUGGCAGAAGUGGUGCGUGUGUGUGCAUGCAGUUAGCAGCUAGGUAGUUAGUUAGUGGGUCAAAGUAGUGGCGUGAGUUUAGAUGGCAUGGGUUCUUGCCGUGUGUAUAAAUAGUCAUUUCAGUCAAUGAGUAAAGAAGAGCGGUGAGGGCUGGGAGAAAAGAUGUAGCCAUUGUAUGGUCACCAGGGAAGUCCUCUCGGCAAAGCCAUUGAGAUCCUUUUCUCUA